CUUCUCUAGCAAGGGAACAAAGAAGAGAAGGGGUGGAUAAAAUGAUUCUUUCAUUUUUAAAAAAUCAUGUCCCUGGGCUCUUUAAAGCAAAAGUGAGGCCUUCUUUGAAGCAAGACAAUGAUCCCCAGAUUGCUGGUGAGAGACGGACAAGCACUCCAUGCUCAGCCUGCCAACCAACUCUGGAUUUUUCUCCUACGUGUAAUGAAACCAUGGGUGCCCUCAGACAGAGCUCACACUUGACAGCACAGCAGACUUUCCACUGGAAUGCAGAGUUCUAUUCUUAG
rnacentral:lncRNA from 1 species